GAUGAACGCUGGCGGCGUGCCAAUACAUGCAAGUCGAGCGAAUGGAUUAAGAGCUUGCUCUUAUGAAGUUAGCGGCGGACGGGUGAGUAACACGUGGGUAACCUGCCCAUAAGACUGGGAUAACUCCGGGAAACCGGGGCUAAUACCGGAUAACAUUUUGAACCGCAUGGUUCGAAAUUGAAAGGCGGCUUCGGCUGUCACUUAUGGAUGGACCCGGGUCGCAUUAGCUAGUUGGUGGGGUAACGGCUCACCAAGGCAACGAUGCGUAGCCGACCUGAGAGGGUGAUCGGCCACACUGGGACUGAGACACGGCCCAGACUCCUACGGGAGGCAGCAGUAGGGAAUCUUCCGCAAUGGACGAAAGUCUGACGGAGCAACGCCGCGUGAGUGAUGAAGGCUUUCGGGUCGUAAAACUCUGUUGUUAGGGAAGAACAAGUGCUAGUUGAAUAAGCUGGCACCUUGACGGUACCUAACCAGAAAGCCACGGCUAACUACGUGCCAGCCGCCGCGGUAA
rnacentral:rRNA from 1 species